rnacentral:ncRNA from 1 species
GGGCCAGAGCGGGAGUUUUGUCCGUUGUGUCCCGCGAAUCGCCGGCCGGAGGGAAGGGCCGUCAGGCCGGCGGGUGGCUU